GGAGGCUCAGGCUUCAGACAGGAAGCCUACCAUGUGACCUCUCUGUUGGACACCUCAGAUCACAUGCUGUGUUUUCCAGCACAGACCUCUCUCCUCAUCGCCUGCAAUUGUGUUGUUCUGCUAUGCACUAAGAGAAAAUUAACUGCAAACUCCUUAUGCUUGUGGCUGAGAUACAAUUUUAAAGCUGAAACAAACUUCCAAAUGAAAUGUAAACAAAACUACAAGACCAAUAAAAAUCAAAUGAACAACA